AGUGAACGCUGGCGGUAGGCCUAACACAUGCAAGUCGAACGGCAGCACAGUAAGAGCUUGCUCUUACGGGUGGCGAGUGGCGGACGGGUGAGGAAUACAUCGGAAUCUACUUUUUCGUGGGGGAUAACGUAGGGAAAUUUACGCUAAUACCGCAUACGACCUACGGGUGAAAGCAGGGGAUCUUCGGACUUUGCGCGAUUGAAUGAGCCGAUGUCGGAUUAGCUAGUUGGCGGGGUAAAGGCCCACCAAGGCGACGAUCCGUAGCUGGUCUGGGAGGAUGAUCAGCCACACUGGAACUGAGACACGGUCCAGACUCCUCCGGGAGGCAGCAGUGGGGAGUAUUGGACUAUGUGCGCAAGCCUGAUCCAGCCAUACCGCGUGGGUGAAGAAAGCCUUCGGGUUGUAAAGCCCUUUUGUUGGGAAAGAAAAGCAGCAGGUUAAUACCCCGCUGUUCUGACGGUACCCAAAGAAUAAGCACCGGCUAACUUCGUG
rnacentral:rRNA from 1 species